UUCAGAAGCUCCAAGGAUGUCAUCGGGACCCAUGCUUUUGAUCUCAGAGCUCUGUUUUCAUGUGUGGUGCCUCAUUUCUUAGACAGUGACGCCGCACCUGCCAGAAAAUUCAGUUUUACAUGUUUUCUCCCAGCCACUGUAAAAGAAAGAAACUGUCCCUUUCUUGCAAGAUCGUGCAAAUGUAUGUCCUAUAAUUGGAACUCAUUGACCAGAAAUGGUUUGGCAUGGGUCUCAUGGCGUCCCUGAAUUUGCAGUGGGUUGGCCAAAUCUGCUUUACCUGAGGAGCUGAUGCUACUGUGACCUACAGCAAAAGAAGUGGGAACAUGUGAAGGAGAGGUAUUUUCCAAGAGAAAGUCAAAAGUAAUGUGGAUGGAUAUUGAGUGAGAAGAAGAAAACAGGCAGGAAAACACUUGGAAAAAAUGAAUUCAGCCUAUGCAAUGUGAAGACGAUGAGGAUAAACAGAACAGAGCCCUCAGAAAUAAUGCUGCAUAUCUACAACUAUCUGAUCUUUGACAAAUCUGAGAAAAACAAGAAAUGGGGGAAGGAUUCCCUAUUUAAUAAAUGGUGCUGGGAAAACUGGCUAGCCACAUGUAGAAAGCUGAAACUGGAUCCCUUCCUUACACCUUAUACAAAAGUUAAUUAAAGAUGGAUUAAAGACUUAAAUGUUAGACCUAAAACCAUAAAAACCCUAGAAGAAAACCUAGGUAAUACAAUUCAGGACAUAGGCAUGGGCAAGGACUUCAUGACUAAAACACCAAAAGCAAUGGCAACAAAAGACAAAAUUGACAAAAGGGAUCUAGUUAAACUAAAGAGCUUCCGCACAGCAAAAGAAAUUACCAUCAGAGUGAACAGACAACCUACAGAAUGGGAGAAAAUUUUUGCCAUCUACUCAUCUGACAAAGGGCUAAUAUCCAGAAUCUACAAUGAACUCAAACAAACUUACAAGAAAACAACAACCCCAUCAAAAAGUGGGCGAAGGAUAUGAACAGACACUUCUCAAAAGAAGACAUUUAUGCAGCCAAAAGACACAUGAAAAAAUGCUCAUCAUCACUGGCCAUCAGAGAAAUGCAAAUCAAAACCACAAUGAGAUACCAUCUCACACCAGUUAGAAUGGCAAUCAUUAAAAAGUCAGGAAACAACAGGUGCUAGAGAUGAUGUGGAGAAAUAGGAAC
rnacentral:lncRNA from 10 species